GCCUGGGUGGCUCAGUCGGUUAAGCGUCUGACUUCGGCUCAGGUCAUGAUCCCGCGGUCCGUGGGUUCGAGCCCCGCGUCAGGCU
rnacentral:tRNA from 1 species